rnacentral:rRNA from 1 species
AUACAGAGGGUGCAAGCGUUAAUCGGAUUUACUUGGCGUAAAGCGCGCGUAGGUGGCUAAUUAAGUCAAGUGUGAAAUCCCCGAGCUUAACUUGGGAAUUGCAUUCGAUACUGGUUAGCUAGAGUAUGGGAGAGGAUGGUAGAAUUCCAGGUGUAGCGGUGAAAUGCGUAGAGAUCUGGAGGAAUACCGAUGGCGAAGGCAGCCAUCUGGCCUAAUACUGACACUGAGGUGCGAAAGCAUGGGGAGCAAACAGGAUUAGAUACCCUGGUAGUCCAUGCCGUAAACGAUGUCUACUAGCCGUUGGGGCCCUUGAGGCGUUAGGGGCGCAGGUAACGCGAUAAGUAGACUGCCUGGG